rnacentral:misc_RNA from 1 species
UGUGCCGGCCGACACUGCG